CUCAGACUUCUCCAUAGCUUUCUGUGUGUGUGUCUCAAGCUCUCCUAAGCUUUGUCUGUCUUUCACUGUCUUGUAAGGUCAACAACACAGAUGCUGAUGCGAAGAUUCGAGUCAAUCUCCAGGCGCAAGUUGUUGAGACGAAAGCUGAGGCGAAGAAGAAGAAACCUGUAGAGAGGAAGAAGUCAACAUCUGAUGAACCCAAGGCAAAGAGAUUCAGGAAGGCCAAGGAUGAGAAGAAGAGCCCUGCCUCUAACAACAAGCCCAAGCGUCCUCUUACUGCUUUCUUCAUUUUCAUGAAUGAUUUCCGCAAAACUUUCAAAGAAGAGAAUCCUUCUUCUAACGUUAAGGAUGUAAGUUGAUAUGAUGACUUAUUUAGGAAGAGGAUGAGGAGAAGCAGUCAGAUGAUGAUGCCGAUGAAAAACAAUCUGACGAGGCUGAUGGGUCUAAGCAGUCGACGUUUACCGUAUUAAAUCAUGUUUUAGUUAAUGAUUUGAUUUUUUUUUUAAGACUUGUUGUAAUAUUUUUUUUAUCAACCAACUUAAUUUCAUGUUUCUUUUAUCUGUAAAACAUAUUUGUCUUAUUUGU